AUACCAUGAUGAGGACAUCUCAUAUGUAACUCCUUGAAUCUUUCUCAUGCAUUAUAUAAACUUUCAUCUUCAAGUUGAUGGAAAGAUGUGAUCUCAUUCCUCAAUUU
rnacentral:snoRNA from 1 species